rnacentral:rRNA from 1 species
CCCGCACAAGCGGUGAGCAUGUGGUUAAUCGAUGCAACGCGAAGAACCUUACCUGGGCUUGACAUCUGGGGAAUCUUUAGGAAACUAAGGAGUGCCUUUCGGGGAGCCCCAAGACAGGUGCUGCAUGGGCUGUCGUCAGCUCGUGUCGUGAGAUGUUGGGUUAAGUCCCGCAACGAGCGCAACCCCUAUCUUUAAUUGCCAUCAUUCAGUUGGGCACUUUAAAGAGACUGCCGGUGUUAAACCGGAGGAAGGUGGGGAUGACGUCAAGUCCUCAUGGCCUUUAUGCCUAGGGCUACACACGUGCUACAAUGGGUGGUACAAAGAGCAGCCAACUCGCGAGAGCGCGCUAAUCUCAAAAAGCCAUCCUCAGUUCGGAUUGGAGUCUGCAACUCGACUCCAUGAAGUUGGAAUCGCUAGUAAUCGCGGAUCAGCAUGCCCGCGGUCGAAUACGUUCCGGCCUU